CGGCGUAAGCUGUCGCUAUGGGGAUGGGCCCCGCGGUGCAUUAGCUAGUUGGUAAAGGGGUAAAAAGGGGCUUACCAAGGCGAUGAUGCAUAGCCGAGUUGAGAGACUGAUCGGCCACAUUGGGACUGAGACACGGCCCAAACUCCUACGGGAGGCAGCAGUAGGGAAUCUUCCACAAUGGACGCAAGUCUGAUGGAGCAACGCCGCGUGAGUGAAGAAGGUUUUCGGAUCGUAAAGCUCUGUUGUUGGUGAAGAAGGAUAGAGGUAGUAACUGGCCUUUAUUUGACGGUAAUCAACCAGAAAGUCACGGGCUAACUACGUGCCAGCAGCCGCGGGUAAAU
rnacentral:rRNA from 1 species